CCCGCCGCCCUCGACGCCGGCCAGAUCCGCCGCCACCUCUGCUCGAGCUGCUCCCAUCGACCACGCCGCUACUCGCGUGCUUCUUCUCUCCCGCGACCCCGCCAUUGAAGGUCUCGCAAGGCUGCACGCACCUCGGACCGCGUGUGCCUAGUUCUUCCCGGGACGCUGCCCCGACCCUACUACCCACGCCAUCAGGGGAGCUCGUCAAGAAGAUCGCAGGUCGAGUGGGAGGGAUCCAGUUGCGACGACACCGAAUCACUAGCAAGGCAGCUGCCUAGAAUAA